rnacentral:rRNA from 1 species
UAUACGACGUAUAGAAGUCUGGUACUAGGAAUCACUAUAUCCACCUCGGACCACGAGAGUUAUUCUUGUUCUGAUGAUUUUUUUUUUUUUGUGGAAAUAAAAGUCGUAACAAGACCACUGUAGGAGCACGUGGGACGACAGUGAAGACAUUAGAGAAUUUAUUAAUGAGGAGUCGAGUUGGAGCUCGCCUUUCUUCCGGCAUGCGCACACUCUUCUCUCUCAUACACACACACCCCUGCGCACGUGUGAGACAGUUGAGGGUUGGUUUGGAGUCGGCGGGUUAGUAGAGCUUUAUUGCAAAACUCUCCCCCUGUUCUCUUCCCCCUUGCUGUCUACUCAAUUCUACACACACUCUAUUAAUUUUAAAACGAAUGUAAUUGAUGUAACGCAUCUAAUACUAAGUUUCAACAACGGAUCUCUUGGCUCUCGCAUCGAUGAAGAACGCAGCGAAAUGCGAUAAGUAAUGUGAAUUGCAGAAUUCAGUGAAUCAUCGAAUCUUUGAACGCACCUUGCGCUCCUUGGUAUUCCUUGGAGCAUGCCUGUUUGAGUAUCAUGAAAUCUUCAAAGCAAACCUUUUGUUAAUUCAAUCGGUCUCUUGCUUUGGUUUUGGAGGUCUUUGCAGCUUCACAAUCUGCUCCUCUUUGUUUAUUAGCUGGAUCUCUAAGUGUUAUGCUUGGUUCCACUCGGCGUGAUAAAGUUAUCUAUCGCUGAGGACACCCGUAAAAAGGUGGCCAAGGUAAAUGCAGACGAACCGCUUCUAAUAGUCCAUUGACUUGGACAAAAUAAAACUUUUAUGAUCUGAUCUCAAAUCAGGUAGGACUACACGCUGAACUGUAACCAUAUCAAUAAGCUGGAGGAAAAAGGAA